GAUGAACGCUGGCGGCGUGCCUAAUACAUGCAAGUCGAGCGAACAGAUGAGGAGCUUGCUCCUCUGACGUUAGCGGCGGACGGGUGAGUAACACGUGGAUAACCUACCUAUAAGACUGGGAUAACUUCGGGAAACCGGAGCUAAUACCGGAUAAUAUAUUGAACCGCAUGGUUCAAUAGUGAAAGACGGUUUUGCUGUCACUUCUAGAUGGAUCCGCGCCGCAUUAGCUAGUUGGUAAGGUAACGGCUUACCAAGGCAACGAUGCGUAGCCGACCUGAGAGGGUGAUCGGCCACACUGGAACUUAGACACGGUCCAGACUCCUACGGGAGGCAGCAGUAGGGAAUCUGCCGCAAUGGGCGAGAGCCUGACGGAGCAACGCCGCGUGAGUGAUGAAGGUCUUCGGAUCGUAAAACUCUGUUAUUAGGGAAGAACAAAUGUGGAAGUAACUAUGCACGUCUUGACGGUACCUAAUCAGAAAGCCACGGCUAACUACGUG
rnacentral:rRNA from 1 species